UCCAUCGCUUUUGCACAAUUGUGGAUUGAUACAUUUGGUAUUUAUUAUUUAAAAUGUGCUGAUGAUUGUACUCUGAAUUCUCCUUGCUGUACCUUUGGUUUCAUGUAUUUUGGCGGAUAUGGAGCUGACACUUCUGUUCUAGUCUGUCUUAAACCACGACCCCGGAGGAUGAUAUCAGCAGAGCAGGGCUAUGAAACAGCCAGCUUAUUCUUCACAUCGUUUCAUUGUUAUUUUUGGUUUAAAAAUAACACUUCUUUCUAUGCUUUUCAGCUUCAGUUAAAUGCCAUCUCGUCUUAGUGGCUUCAACCAUGUUUAUGGCUCAUUUGUAAGAAGAGGCCCUACAGCUAUCAGGUGGUGUUUGGCAAUGGUAGAACUCACACUGGUGAGGUAGAUGGAUCCGGUGGUUCUAGACUUGCCAACUACUGCCUGAGAGCAUCCACCAGCUGAGAACAAUACGGAGACAAAAAAUAGCCCCAAGCAGAGAAGCAUCUGAAGCUCAUUUAAGUCAAUGAGUGAGUGGCUGACGGUGGUGAAGGGUGGGGUGAGACUCUGUUCCUCCCCUGCACACCCUGGCCUCAAAGCUCCAGUGACUUGGUAUAAACUUUUUUACGAGCAAUUUUAAAGAACAAUCAGGAUCUAGAUAAAACUCCCAAAGUGUUUGGCUUCUUUAAUUCAGAAAAGAUGACGUGCAGGAGGCAGGACAAGUAGAAAUCAAUUUUUAGCUUUGGGAGACGGUUUCACCUCUAAAAACAAGAAGGAAAAAAAUCAAUGUAAGUGUUUUCUUGAAACAAGAUAUUUGAAUGCAAUCAAUGAAAAAGUCUAGCACUGCAUCCUAAAGUAUUACCUUGUUCUCCACUUUGCAAGAUCGGGCUGACAGUUUUACCGCAUAAUUGUUCAAACAUGUAGUGGCGGAUUGAGUACUUGGACAACAAGAUAUAUAUUCAGCUUACUAUUUCAUUUGGAGAAGUUUAGAUCAGAGGAAAAAGAAGAAGCAGAGAUUUUCAGAAUACAUUUUUUUUUCUGAUGUAGGCUAAACUAACUAAUUUGGGGCGUGGGGACAGGAGAAUAAACAAUAAUGAUGACAAACAUGAUUUUUAAUGGAGAAACUGAUACUUCGCAGUUUGUUCCAUGAAGAUAAUGUAAUUAAAAUAAUGGUUCAUCAGUCAGUCUUUGACAAGUGGACAAAUGAGUGCAGCUCUGCAGUGUGAGAGGGACGAAGUGCUCCACUUUAUGUCUACAGGUUCAGCUCCUCCGCCUUCAGCCAGCCAUCAGGGGGUUCCUCUCUUAGCUCCAUGGCAUAAUUGGCAAACCGUGCGGUGUCAUCUUACCCUUCUCUUUUCAGUGCAGCCUUUUCCCCUCCUCCCUCCCUUCCCCAAAUGGAAAGGGUGGAGAGUAAGGCAGUCUUUCAAAUGUUAGUUUGGUUUGCUGUAACAGCCCAUUGACAGUUUGGCGAAAAAAGCAAGCUCCAUACUGAGCUUCAUAUAUCUGGGUCAGGGUCUGCUAAUGCUAGCUAUAUUUGAUCUACGUGGAUGUCAUCAUUGGACCUUUGCAGAGGCUCUUUUGCUUUUUGUGCUGAUUGGCCAUUAAAACAGAGAAUGGAUAUAUCACGCACGUAUAACGCCUAACCGUCUGGGCAUGAAUCUAAGGAUUUGACAUGUUCUUAAUUGUGUGUGCACACCUGCUGACUCAUCACUGAAAUUGUUUAUCUAGCAUUCAUAUUUGCUUGUGUGUAAUGCAAAUAAAUACUUUUAAAGGACCGAUCCAUUGUGUCAGACUCCGUCUAACGAUCUUCUUUGCAGCAAAGUGCAUUGAGGGAUAACCCUUGUCAAUUCAAGGCCUUCUCCAGAUGGACCGAGCAGCUCAGGUUACACCGCAUUUUUCAGUGCCCCCUCUAUCCCACAGCCCCCCUGGCCCCUUUCUCUAUUUCUCUCUCUCUUUUUCUGUUACACACACACACACACA